GGGGUUGUAGCUCGGUGGUUGAGCAUUUGCCUCUCAUGUAUGAGGUACUGGGUUCAAUCCUCAGUAAAAAUCCUCA
rnacentral:tRNA from 1 species